CCUACGGGAGGCAGCAGUGAGGAAUAUUGGACAAUGGGCGCAAGCCUGAUCCAGCCAUGCCGCGUGCAGGAUGACGGUCCUAUGGAUUGUAAACUGCUUUUGCACAGGAAGAAACAACGCUACGUGUAGCGUCUUGACGGUACUGUGAGAAUAAGGAUCGGCUAACUCCGUGCCAGCAGCCGCGGUAAUACGGAGGAUCCAAGCGUUAUCCGGAAUCAUUGGGUUUAAAGGGUCCGUAGGCGGUUUAGUAAGUCAGUGGUGAAAGCCCAUCGCUCAACGGUGGAACGGCCAUUGAUACUGCUAGACUUGAAUUAUUAGGAAGUAACUAGAAUAUGUAGUGUAGCGGUGAAAUGCUUAGAGAUUACAUGGAAUACCAAUUGCGAAGGCAGGUUACUACUAAUUGAUUGACGCUGAUGGACGAAAGCGUGGGUAGCGAACAGGAUUAGAUACCCUGGUAGUCCACGCCGUAAACGAUGGAUACUAGCUGUUGGGAGCAACUUCAGUGGNGAGAGAAGUAGAGUAAGUAGUACCACCGUCGGGUAGGUACGUUACGUUCGUAAGAAGUUAGAACGUUACGAAGGAAGUUAGUUACGGACGNGAGACGAGCGACGGACGACGACGAGGGAGGAGGAGG
rnacentral:rRNA from 1 species